rnacentral:rRNA from 1 species
UACGUAGGUGGCAAGCGUUAUCCGGAAUUAUUGGGCGUAAAGCGCGCGCAGGCGGUUUCUUAAGUCUGAUGUGAAAGCCCACGGCUCAACCGUGGAGGGUCAUUGGAAACUGGGGAACUUGAGUGCAGAAGAGAAAAGCGGAAUUCCACGUGUAGCGGUGGAAAUGCGUAGAGAUGUGGAGGAACACCAGUGGCGAAGGCGGCUUUUUGGUCUGUAACUGACGCUGAGGCGCGAAAGCGUGGGGAGCAAACAGG